UACGUAGGGUGCAAGCGUUAUCCGGAAUUAUUGGGCGUAAAGCGUUCGCAGGCGGUUCUGUAAGUCUGUGGUUAAAUCUGACCGCUCAACGGUCAACAUGCCACGAAUACUGCAGAGCUAGAGGAUGGCAGAGGCAACUGGAAUUCUGCGUGUAGGGGUAAAAUCCGUUGAUACGCAGAGGAACACCAAAAGCGAAGGCAGGUUGCUGGGCCAUUUCUGACGCUGUUGAACGAAAGCGUGGGUAGCAAACAGG
rnacentral:rRNA from 1 species